rnacentral:rRNA from 1 species
CGUGGCUAACCUGCCCUUGGGACGAGAACAACCCCGGGAAACUGGGGCUAAUUCGCGAUAGGCGAAGAACUCUGGAAUGAGUCUUCACCUAAAAGACAUUGCGUUAUGCUCGUAGUGUCGCCCAAGGAUGGGGCCGCGACCGAUCAGGUUGUUGGUGAGGUAAUGGCUCACCAAGCCUUUUACCGGUGCGGGCCGUGGGAGCGGGAGCCCGGAGAUGGGCACUGAGACAAGGGCCCAGGCCCUACGGGGCGCAGCAGUCGCGAAAACUUUGCAAUAAGCGAAAGCUUGACAGGGCUAUCCCGAGUGCCAUCCGCUGAGGAAGGCUUUUACCCAGUCUAGAACGCUGGGGGAAUAAGGAGAGGGCAAGUCUGGUGUCAGCCGCCGCGGUAAUACCAGCUCUCCGAGUGGUGUGGAUGUUUAUUGGGCCUAAAGCAUCCGUAGCAGGCUAGGUAAGUCCCCUGUUAAAUCCACCGAAUUAAUCGUUGGAUUGCGGGGGAUACUGCUUGGCUAGGGGACGAGAGAGGCAGACGGUAUUUCCGGGGUAGGGGUGAAAUCCUAUAGUCCCGGGAAGACCACCAGUGGCGAAGGCUGUCUGCUAGAACGCGCCCGACGGUGAGGGAUGAAAGCUGGGGGAGCGAACCGGAUUAGAUACCCGGGUAGUCCCAGCUGU